rnacentral:rRNA from 1 species
UUGAUCCUGGCUCAGAAUCAACGCUGGCGGCGUGCCUAACACAUGCAAGUCGAACGCGAGAGUCCCGCAAGGGACAAUUGAGUGGCAAACGGGUGAGUAUCACGUGGGUGACCUGCCUUCGAGUGGGGGAUAACGUUCCGAAAGGAACGUUAAUACCGCAUGACAUCCUGCUCUUGGAAGAGCGGAGAUCAAAGCUGGGUAUCGCAAGACCUGGCGCUUGAAGAGGGGCCCGCGCCUGAUUAGCUAGUUUGUGGGGUAACGGCCUACCAAGGCGACGAUCAGUAUCCGGCCUGAGAGGGUGGACGGACACACUGGGACUGAGACACGGCCCAGACUCCUACGGGAGGCAUCAGUGGGGAAUUGUUCGCAAUGGGCGCAAGCCUGACGACGCAACGCCGCUUGGAGGACGAAGAUCUUCGGGUCGUAAACUCCUGUCGAGUGAGAAGAACUUCUUUCCGUUGAAUAUUCGGGAAGACUGACGGUACCACUAAAGGAAGCCUCGGCUAACUCCGUGCCAGCAGCCGCGGUAAUAAGGU